AGAAAGUGAAAGCUAUUUAUUUAUUUUGAAUAUAUUGGUAAAAAGAAUUAAAAUAAAAGAAUUUAAAAUGAAUAAAAGUCGGGCGCCAAAAUGUUCGAAAAAUUAAAAUGACUGCACCAUAAUGACUAGUGCGAAAUAAAGUUCUCGAAAAGAUACAAGUUUUGAUCAAAUUUUGAAAUAAAAAAGUCUUGUUAAAAUGCC
rnacentral:lncRNA from 1 species